UUCGACAAAUAUGAGUGAAUUUCGAACAGUAGUCCCCAUAUUCAAAUAAUAAAAUAAAAUAUAUUUAAUGAAGUAAUAUAUGAUAAUGUAAUAAAAAAUAAAAUAAUUAAAUUAAAAUUAAAUAAAAUAUAUUAUAGCUAACUAAAUUAACAUAAAAUAAUUAAAAUAAACUAAGUAGCAUUUACUUAGAUUUCUACAUAUAUGUUCUAUACUUUACAACUUAUAAACUCAUUUGACAAAUAGGACUGAAUGUCGAAUAGUAGCCCCCGUAUUCAAAUAAUAGCAUUUACUUAGUUUUCUAUUCGUAAAAUAAACUAAGUAGUAUUUGCUUAAUUUGUCACAAUCUUCAAUAAACUCAAUAUAUACAUGUGCAUGCAGUAUAGGUUGGAGUUUAGAAACCCGUUUGACAUUCACUCAUUAGAAGUGAAUGUCGAAUAGUCCCUAGUAUAUGACUGUUAUUGGAUGUUAUGUCUCUCAUUUAGGCCGGUGUCAAUUCACGGGAUACUUUUUUUGAGGAUUUUUCAGCUGAUGUUUCUACAUGUUCUCCGAGUGCAUACUUAGACUAAGCUGUCUUAGUCUAUUUUGUGUACUUAGACACCAUGGGGCGGUACUGCUGAAAUUUUCUUAAAACAGAAGAAACGUGCUCAAGGUUGGCACUAGUGAGGAGAUGCAUCCAGGAACAUGAUAGAAUCCUAACCCCUAUAGAAUGGACAUAAUGUCAAAUAUAAUUCAUGCAUGAACCACAUACAUGAAUAUUAUUAUUGUAUAUUUUGUUCAAUUAAAGAUGUUAGCCGACUAGAGUUGGAUGUACCGUAGGAUACGGGUUGAUGGGAGGGGAUUAGUUGAUGCGUAUCGUGAUGGGGUGUGCAAUUUUAUGAACAAAACAAUAGAACAUGCUGAUAAUCUGAACGAAAAGAUGAGAUUCCUAUGUCUCAAGUGGAAAAACAUCACCUGGAAUAAAGCUGGUGAAAUUAAAUUUGACUUAUUUUCACGUGAGUUUGUGGAUGGGUAUUCAGUAUGGAUUCAUCACCGCUGACCGAAAAUAUAGACCAACUAAUUUAUGGGGAUUCAUACGACGAUUCAUAUAUAGAAGAUAGUAGAUUUCAUUCUCUACUUAACUCUUCUAAUGAAUUAUUAUUUCCGCUN
rnacentral:lncRNA from 1 species